GACGAACCGUGCAAACGUUGUUCGGAAUCACUGGGCUUAAAGGGCGCGUAGGCGGGCCAGCCAGUCUGUGGUGAAAGCCUCCAGCUUAACUGGAGAAGUGCCGUGGAUACUGCUGGCCUCGAGGAGGAUAGGGGCAUCUGGAACGGUCGGGUGGAGCGGUGAAAUGCGUUGAUAUCGACCGGAACUCCGGUGGCGAAGGCGAGGUGCUGGGUCCUUUCUGACGCUGAUGCGCGAAAGCCAGGGGAGCAAACGGG
rnacentral:rRNA from 1 species